rfam:Triticum aestivum genome assembly, contig: Triticum_aestivum_CS42_TGACv1_scaffold_623102_7DS
AAGGUGGACGAGGAAGAUGUGGUCUCUCACAUCCUCGCCAGACUGGAGGAGGAGUUCGAUCCCGUGGUGUCCGCCAUGUUCUCACGGGUUGAACCUGUCACUGUCCCGGAGCUGUACUCGCAGCUUUUGAGCUUCGAGA